UUUAAAAAUAAUACACAUAAGCAUAACAUUAAAUCCAUUUAUUAGUAAAGAAAAACUAGUUGAAACCCCGAAUAACAUUUCAUAUAUCAAGAAUCAAAGAAAAGAAGUUUACUUGCCGAAAAUUUUUGUUUCGUGUAUGUAUAUUAUUGGUGGUACUCAUGUGAAUUAUAUUAUAUACGCAGAUUUCAUUUAUUUGAUGACUCAUAGUCAAAUUUAAUGAGGAAUAUUUCUUCCCUUCACACUAUGCUGCUGAACUAUUGUAGAAUAUUGCAGGAGAUUUUGGUUAAAUUCGAAUAUAUGCUUAAAUAACACUUGAAGUUGGCAGCAAACAAUUUUCGCCUGAAAUGUGCAAAUUUAUAUUUAAAUUGUCUUAAAAUUUGUUUUAUCUACAUAUCGUAUAUAGUCUACUUUGAAACAUCUAGUGCAAUUUGAUGGAGCUUAUUUCUUCUUUUGAGAA
rnacentral:sRNA from 1 species